GUAAUAUUAUGCACAUAUUAUUAGUGAGAGUUUAUUCUGUUUCUGCAGUCCUUGAAGUAGUCGUUCUGAACCAAAGAGAACACUGUGAACUUCUUGACGAAAAUAUUUCCCUAAAUGUGAAUGCUUUGAUCCAGCUGCUCUGCCAGCACUGCCUCUGAGCAAGCGAUCCCUCACCCCAAAUACCAAUCUGUUCUCUAAGAGGCACCACGCCAAUGAAGAGGACAAGAGAGGGCCGCUCUGCUGCAAUACUUGGAGAGAGCCAUGGCAGUGGGCACCCUCUCAUCCAAACACCGAUUUUCUCUGGUGGCAUGAGAGAGAACUGAGAGAAGCUGCACAGAGACCACCUGGGAGCUGCUCUUCAAUCUCGGGCACAUGGAGAAAACACCCGCUUUGUGUUUGGCUUUUGCAAUGAAUGCUUGUGCAGAAGAAUGAAGGAGGUUGGAAGAGCUUCUCUGCUGCCUACGGCUCUCUUUUCUAUUUCAUUGCUUCAAGAGGUGCAGAAAAUGCUAAUCACUGAAGCGAACUAAGAAGCAAUAAGUAAUGCUGUGUAAUAGUUGUGCUUAAUAAAAUAAAG
rnacentral:lncRNA from 1 species